CGGGAGGAAGCGGCGCUGGCCGAGGCUCCGUCUGCGCGCUGUGACACGGCGGGGACGCGGCACCGCCACGGCACCGGGGCCUGGAGCCAGGGGAUAAGAGAUGGAUUUGUCUCUGGCAGAGGGAGCAGGGCUCCUGGUCACAGGUGGCCUGGUGGUUUUGCAGGGCAGGAAAGCACUCCCAAGCUGGAGACAAGAAGUCCCAGUUGUGUCACCACAGCUGGAGAAGGCUGGUUUUUCAUCAUGGGAGGAGAACUCAGGAGAUGCCAGCCACUCCCUGGUGCUCCCUGUGUAGCUGCAGGGCUCAUCUCAGCUCUGCCACCUUGCUGAGCAUCCCUCCCAUGUGGUACCCGGGGGGACACAGCCAAACCUCGUCCCUGUGUGGUUUUUGGGGAGAGAAGAUGGAGUCAGGAAGAGCUGCUCUUCAGUUGAGAGCCUGAUUUAUGGCCCAGGCCUCAGGCAAAUCCCUCACUGGCUUUGUGGUUUCAUUUCCCCAUCUCUACAAUCUCUUUCACGGGUCAUGUGUGAGGGGGA